AUUGAACGCUGGCGGCAGGCCUAACACAUGCAAGUCGAGCGGAGCGGCGGACGGGUGAGUGAUGCCUAGGAAUCUGCCUGGCAGUGGGGGAUAACGUCCGGUAACGGGCGCUAAUACCGCAUCCUCUUUGAUGAGCCUAGGCCGGAUUCGCUAGUUGGUGGGGUAAGGGCCUACCAUGGCGACGAUCCGUAACUGGUCUGAGAGGAUGAUCAGUCACACUGGAACUGAGACACGGUCCAGACUCCUACGGGAGGCAGCAGUGGGGAAUAUUGGACAAUGGGCGAAAGCCUGAUACAGCCAUGCCGCGGGUGUGAAGAAGGUCUUCGGAUUGUAAAGCACUUUAAGUUGGGAGGCGGUACCAACAGAAUAAGCACCGGCUAACUACGUGCCAGCAGCCGCGGUAAUAC
rnacentral:rRNA from 1 species